rnacentral:rRNA from 1 species
AUGCCAGGAACUCACAAUGACAUCAACGUCCUGCAGUGCUCCCCUGUCUUUGCCAAGCUUGUUGAAGGUCAUUCUCCUCCGGUGAACUUCGAGGUCAAUGGGCGGCAGUACAACAAGGGGUACUACCUAGCUGAUGGCAUCUAUCCGAGAUGGUCGACAUUUGUGAAGACUAUCUCAAACGCUGUACCAGGAGGCAAGAAGUCCUUCUUUGUGAAGGUUCAGGAGGCUUGCAGGAAGGAUGUCGAGCAGGCAUUUGGUGUGCUCCAAUCUCGAUUUGCUGUUAUCCGGUACCCUGCUCAGACCUAG